ncrna:unclassified sequences S10-Clostridia ribosomal protein leader
UGAUAGCGUUGAAGCGUGAGGUUGCCGCUUAGUGAGAAAUCACAUAGCGGGUUUUCCGUGGAGCGAAUGUCAAGUUAGGAAACUGGCGACAA